rnacentral:rRNA from 1 species
AUACGGAGGUGCAAGCGUUAAUCGGAAUUACUGGGCGUAAAGCGUACGUAGGCGGUUCGUUAAGUUAGAUGUGAAAGCCCCGGGCUUAACCUGGGAACUGCAUUUAAAACUGGCGGACUAGAGUUGAGUAGAGGGGAGUGGAAUUUCAGGUGUAGCGGUGAAAUGCGUAGAGAUCUGAAGGAACACCAGUGGCGAAGGCGACUCCCUGGACUCGAACUGACGCUGAGGUACGAAAGCGUGGGUAGCAAACGGGAUUAGAAACCCCGGUAGUCC